UGUUGUAAUACAGUGAAUAUGAUUGAUUACAAGUGCUAGAGAUGCAUGAAGAAUGUAUAAAAGAGAGAAGAAAGACUUGUUGAUAUUUGGUCACAAAUGGGAUAAGAACCCAAAGCCAUUGCUUUGAGGCAGUGAAUGGCUUGUAUAAAGUUAUUUAGGGUUAGAAUAUGUUAUAAUACAAUGAAUAUGAUUGAUUACAAGUGCUAGAGAUGAAUGAAGAAUGUAUAAAAGUGAGAAGAAAGACUUGUUGAUAUUUGGUCACAAAUGGGAUAAGAACCCAAAACCAUUGCUUUGAGGCAGUGAAUG
rnacentral:lncRNA from 1 species